UACGUAGGGUGCGAGCGUUAAUCGGAAUUACUGGGCGUAAAGCGCACGUAGGCGGUUUUUUAAGUCAGAUGUGAAAGCCCCGGGCUCAACCUGGGAAUUGCAUUUGAAACUGGGAAACUAGAGUGUGUGAGAGGGGGGUAGAAUUCCAAGUGUAGCGGUGAAAUGCGUAGAGAUUUGGAGGAAUACCAGUGGCGAAGGCGGCCCCCUGGCACGAUACUGACGCUCAGGUGCGAAAGCGUGGGGAGCAAACAGG
rnacentral:rRNA from 1 species